UACCAUAUAGACCUUCGAGCGGUAACGGCCUCCGAUUAGGAAUUAGGGUUUGCUUUCGUCGUCGUCCUCCUCCUCUUCUACCGCACGAUCGAGUCCCCCAUUCCCCAAUCUCAUCCCCGAGGGUUUCCCAACAACCCGAAAUUUCUUAUCAAUGGCCGGCCAAUCGGAUCCCUACAUCUCCCACUUCUCGGCUCCGGAGGUGCUCAAAUCUGGUGGAGUUCAUCCCCGACAUCAGAACGGAGUCCCUCCACAUGAUUCAUGUAAUUUGAGCUCUUUCUUGAUCUCUUUAUGCCUCUAAUUCUAUGGAUUGAUGGCGAUUUUGGUGUUAUGCCCCUGCCAAGAGGAUGUCGGCCUUUCUUUCCGCAAAUCGCGAGCAAUGGCUCUGAAGGAACGUGAAAAAUGCACCAUCCGUUCUCCCGAAUCGAUGUCGGUUGGUGAGGGUUUAUUUCUUGGCUGUCAUCCAAAUUGUUGCUUUCAUGAGGUCUGAUAACAUAAGAAACAAAGAAAGAAGACUUCUUGCUAAACUAUGUCUCCUUAUAAUGCCGACUCUCCGUUAAAAUCCUUAUCGUAAAGUGCUUACCAUAAUUAUAGUAGUCUUUGAUUGGUGCAUAAUACUUCAGCCCUUGUUCCAGGACUCCAUGGAUUAGCUUCUCAUGGAAGUAAAGAGACUAUAAAUUUGUCAUCUUUCUUCUGUACCUUUCAAUUGAAGUCCUGUACAUGCUGUUAAUAUCACACUUAAAGCGAGAUCCACCUAAUUGCUAAAAGAAUCCAUAAGCUUUCUUUUCUUUAAGAAAAUGCUGGUAAUUAAACAGCUUCAUGCCAUGCAGUUGAUCUAUUCUUGUGUUUGAUGAGCAUAUGUUGUAUCAUGACAUAUAUGCUGUUGAAAUCUGAAAAUUAGUUAUUUUAGUUAUAUAAAAGCUUUUUAGUUGUGUCGGGCCAUUUUUCUAUCUCAUGAAGAAUAAUUAAACUGCUUAAUAUUUUACGGCAGUAGGUGCUUCAGUAUCUUGAUUAAUGCCCAGAACAUCAGCUGAACUUUUUGAUACAUGAGAGUCUUGUGAUCUAAUCUAACCCUUGACAUCCAUAUACAUGGAUUGUGAAUCAGUAGUUCAAGAAUUCCAUAUUUCUUUCGAGAGUCUUAUGUAUCAAAGUUCCCUUACACUGAGAAUUCUACUGCCUUUAUAACAAUAAGUUGCAGAUUCUCAGGUUUCCUUCCCCUGGAAAGCAAGUGACUGAUGAUGGCAAUCAGACAUUUGCUAAAAUGUCUCCAAGUAAAUAUAUUGAGCCCAUUCAUGGGAAGGGCCUGACAAGCUUUCAGUGAACAUGAGAGCCCACAGAUCAUCAGGAAGCAAACAGAUUAGAUCAUGGCCCAAGACUUUCCAUUACAGGGAACAGUUCUGUCUUGCCUUCAUGUAGGACUCGUGUGAUCCACCGGUCUUCUUCCUCUCCCCUUGUAAGCCACCUCCGCCAUCUCUUUGCACAAGGCUGUGACGACGAUUGCUGCAAGAAAAGCAACGCCCUCGUGCUUCAGAGAGACCGGAACCUUGUGAUCUAUGGCCCAGCGCUUUGGGCCACCGGCACGAGAGUUCUGGUCUCUGCGGGUGUGGUGGUGACACAGAAGUCAACCAGUGCCGUCGGAAAGCCCAAGAACAAGAGCAUCUCCAUUCAUGGCGAAUGAAUCAAUUAGACCGAACAACGACAAAGGCUAGCUAUGUGUAUAUGAAGCGCUAUGCUCAGUGCAACUGUAACAGAAGUGAUAUCUUGGUAUCGUCGUACCCGAGGCAGCAGUAAAGAGACACCUCCUGCUGCUCAUUCUACAGUAACAUCGCAUGCGACGAAUUCAGAAGUACGCUUCAGUGAUAAAUAAUGAUGAACAGUAGCAACAGCAUUUGCAAAAAGCUCGGAGGAGGCAGACCACCAACGGGCAUCGGCGUCGCCUCUCGUGUCGCAGACCUUCGUCGGUCUUAUCCUUGGAUCUUUCGUUUCUCUUGUUGUAAGUAGCACUUCGAUUCUUUCGUCCGUCUUGACACGGACUUAGCUGA